UGAGCCCUGGAGAGCACCCCCCACCAGGUGCCCAGCAUCUCCCCCAGCCACCCCCUCUCCACCACCAUCUGGCUGCUAAGGGGUGAUGCCUGGCCUGCCAGGGCCUCCAGACUCUGCUCCUGCUCUAUGGCUGGCAUCUGAUUGGUCAGUGCCUUACUGUGUGGUUGUUAAAUGUCUGAGUGAUGGACCAGCCUGAUGCCGAGGAUGGGGAUGCAGCAGAUGCCUGGGGAAACGAUGCCUUCCCGUUGGAGACAUUUGGCUGAUUCACCUUGACCAAGUUAUUAAACCCAGCACCACCCACAGCGGGACCCGCUCACGUCAUCUACUCCUGAUGUGAUGUGAAGAGCCCUCUGACCUCCUGCUCCAAACUGUACUGCUGUUCUCUGGGCAUGAUGCGCAGCUGGGCAUCCUCUUCAAUCCUCAGCUCGACUGGACCUCACUGCCUGCAUCCCAUGCAUUAUCCUUUCUUGGUUCAUUCCUUCAUUGUGAUGGAGCUUUUCCUCCAAAAGCUUUCUCAGAAAAGAUGCAGAGGAGGCAAAUGUUCUGAGAUUUUGUGUGUCUGAAAAUGUCUUUAUUCCAUCCUCACACUUGACUGGAAGUUUUUGGGAUUUUCUCUUUAUCUUGGGAUUGUACCACUUUAGGCCUUCUUGCAUCAUUGGACUGGGCAUCAUGUCCUCCAGUUCCGGGAACUUUUCUUAUAUUAUUUCUUAUAUUUUCUUAUGUUU
rnacentral:lncRNA from 1 species